AUGACUAGGUUUCCAAUCGGCUCCUUUGCAGGGAGGCGGGAACGUUCCCACCCCCACCCGCAAAACCAUCAAUGCGUGAUUGCGUUAUUGGGGCGUACGUGGUAACGUCAGGAGGCCGUAUCCUGAUUGGCGGUUGGAGCAAAUUUGAAAUCAGGCCGCGAAAACGUCCGGAGUAACGGAGCAGGCGCCAGGUGGAGAGUGGUGGACCAAGCGGAAAAUGGAAUCUGCCAUGGUCACUCUACGCAACAUGUUCGAGCAGUUGCUCAGACAGAUGGAAGUACUAAAUGAAGGAAUUGAACCUCAAUUUAUUCAGUUAGCCAAAAACUUUGAAGAAUGUAGGAAAAAAUGGCAAAAGACUGAAUUGGAGCUUUCCCGUGCUACAGAGUGCCUAACAAAAGCUGAGACUGAGCGAAGUGCACUCGAUGUCAAAUUGAAGCAUGCUCGUAACCAAGUUGAUGUAGAAAUGAAGCGUCGGCAGAAAGCAGAAACAGAGUGUGAAAGACUGGUAUGUCUGAUCUUAAAAUUUCAUUCUAAA